GCUGCACGUCUCGCCUUUGAAGAAGCUUUUUUGUGAAACUGCGCAUCAGGGUACACAGUUAAGAGUUGCUGACGAUUUAGAUUUAAUUACCACAACUCUGAAUUCAGAAGUCACAUCACCAACCCUAACGGAAAAACAGGUGGAGUCAACAGAUGUAUCUAUGGUAACUCAUAUUAUUACAGCAGUUGUCCUGAUCUUCUUGCUGCUUCUUUCCCUGCUGAUCAUUGUGUACAGACGUAAAUACAAAGGAACCAGGAAGAAUAAAACACCCAGCACACCAAUGGUAAACUUUGGAGGUUUAGAAAAAACACAGAUGGAAACAGUGGAGAAUCUUUAUACUGUAUAAACUAACUUAUCAUGAAAUUCUGAAAACUGGAUGGAUUCAAGAAUAGAAAAUAAUGGAUGCACUAAUAUUUUGAUUCAUUUCAAACUCAAAAACAUUUACUUUCCACAAUUAUUAAUAGAAAAAUAUCUUAUUUAUAUUCCUAGAGGUCAACGUACAAAAAAAUUAAACACAAAGGCCUGGAUUCCAACCAGUUUAAUUUCACAUUCAAAAACAGCUUAUCGCUUACCUGUCAACUGGCCUGUCAUGAAAAAGUUUUUAAAGAUUAAUCAGUAAAAAGUUUGAGAAUAUAAA